UACGUAGGGAGCGAGCGUUGUCCGGAUUCAUUGGGCGUAAAGAGCUCGUAGGCGGCUUGGCAGGUCGGGUGUGAAAACUCCAGCUCAACCUGGAGACGCCACCCGAUACUGCCAUGGCUAGAGUCCGGUAGGGGACCACGGAAUUCCUGGUGUAGCGGUGAAAUGCGCAGAUAUCAGGAGGAACACCGGUGGCGAAGGCGGUGGUCUGGGCCGGAACUGACGCUGAGGAGCGAAAGCGUGGGGAGCGAACAGG
rnacentral:rRNA from 1 species